GAUGAACGCUGGCGGCGUGCCUAAUACAUGCCAGUCGAGCGAACAGAGGAGGAGCUUGCUCCCCUUACGUUAGCGUCGGACGCGGGAGUAAAACGUGGAUAACCUACCUAUAAGACUGGGAUAACUUCGGUAAACCCGAGCUAUAACCGGAUAAUAUAUUUAAUCGCAUGGUUCAAUAGUGAAAGACGGUUUUGCUGUCACUUAUAGUUUGAUCCGCGCCGCAUUAGCUAGUUGGUAAGGUAACGGCUUACCAAGGCGACGAUGGGUAGCCGACCUGGGAGAGUGACCGGCCAAACUGGAACUGAGAACCGGUCCAGAUUCUUAGGGGAGGAAGAAGUAGGGAAUCUUCCGCAUGGGGCGAAGGCCGGCCGGAGCAACGCGGCGGGGGUGAUGCAGGUCUUGGGAUGGAAAAACUUUGUUAUUAGGGAAGAACGAAUGUGUGAGAAACUAGGCACGUCUUGACGGUACCUAAUCAGAAAGCCACGGCUAACUACGUG
rnacentral:rRNA from 1 species